GACGAACGCUGGCGGCGUGCUUAACACAUGCAAGUCGAACGAAGUGGCGAACGGGUGAGUAAUACGUGGGUAACCUGCCCUCCUUUUUGGGAUAAGCCUUGGAAACGGGGUCUAAUACCGAAUAAAGGGGAAUGGGCUCGCGGCCUAUCAGCUUGUUGGUGGGGUGAUGGCCUACCAAGGCGGUGACGGGUAGCCGGCCUGAGAGGAUGAACAGCCACACUGGAACUGAGACACGGUCCAGACUCCUACGGGAGGCAGCAGUGUGGAAUAUUGCACAAUGGGCGCAAGCCUGAUGCAGCCAUGCCGCGUGUAUGAUGAAGGCCUUCGGAUUGUAAAGUACUUUCAGCGGGGAGGCGUUACCCGCAGAAGAAGCACCGGCUAACUCCGUGCCAGCCGCCGCGGUAAUAC
rnacentral:rRNA from 1 species